UUUGAUCAUGGCUCAGAUUGAACGCUGGCGGCAUGCUUUACACAUGCAAGUCGAACGGUAACAGGGAGCUUGCUCCGCUGACGAGUGGCGAACGGGUGAGUAAUGCAUCGGAACGUACCCAGUCGUGGGGGAUAACGUAGCGAAAGUUACGCUAAUACCGCAUACGUCCUGAGGGAGAAAGCGGGGGACCGUAAGGCCUCGCGCGAUUGGAGCGGCCGAUGUCGGAUUAGCUAGUUGGUAGGGUAAAGGCCUACCAAGGCGACGAUCCGUAGCGGGUCUGAGAGGAUGAUCCGCCACACUGGGACUGAGACACGGCCCAGACUCCUACGGGAGGCAGCAGUGGGGAAUUUUGGACAAUGGGUGAAAGCCUGAUCCAGCCAUGCCGCGUGAGUGAAGAAGGCCUUCGGGUUGUAAAGCUCUUUCAGCCGGAAAGAAAUCGCGCAGGAUAAUACUCUGUGUGGAUGACGGUACCGGAAUAAGAAGCACCGGCUAACUACGUG
rnacentral:rRNA from 1 species